UCCAAGUGAAGGAGGACUGCUUUGAAGAACUCUACCCCAGAUAACCCCCAAACUGACAGCCUGGGAAGGAAGUGAAUGAACAUGGAUGCUGAGUCACUUUUCACUUUCUUUGCUUUAAACAGCCUUUACUGUGGCUGCAUCUGCUGAAACUGGGGGUGUAAGAGAGGGAGAAGUGUGAUUUACACUGGUGGAUCUUACUGCUGAACUCACUGGUGUUGUGUGAGCUCUGCUUUUGGUUCCUCCGUGCACCUCCAUGUGAAUGGAGCAUGACUGGAAGGCAGUUUAGCAGCCAUCUGAGUUGGGAGAAGGCAAAGCCAGUGAAGGAACAAAGGCC
rnacentral:lncRNA from 1 species